rnacentral:rRNA from 1 species
AGAGUUUGAUCAUGGCUCAGAUUGAACGCUGGCGGCAUGCCUUACACAUGCAAGUCGAACGGCAGCGCGGGACAAUCCUGGCGGCGAGUGGCGAACGGGUGAGUAAAUAUCGGACGUGCCUGUACGGGGGAUACCUAUCGAAAGAUGGCUAUCCGCAUACGCUCUACGGAGGAAAGCGGGGGUCGCAAGCCUCGCCUAUAGGAGCGGCCGAUAUCGGAUUAGCUAGUUGGCGGGGUAAAAGCCCACCAAGGCGACGAUCCGUAGCUGGUCUGAGAGGAUGAUCAGCCACACNNGNNCUGAGACCGGUCCAGCUCCUACGGGAGGCAGCAGUGGGGAAUUUUGGACAAUGGGCGCAAGCCUGAUCCANNCAUGCCGCGUGAGUGAAGAAGGCCUUCGGGUUGUAAAGCUCUUUCGGCAGGAACGAAAUGGUUCGUGCUAAUACCACGGACUGAUGACGGUCCUGAAGAAGAAGCACCGGCUACUACGUGCCAGCAGCCGCGGUAAUACGUAGGGUGCAGGCGUUAAUCGGAAUUACUGGGCGUAAAGCGUGGCAGGCGGUUUCUUAAGUCAGAUGUGAAAGCCCCGGGCUUACCUGGGACUGCGUUUGAAACUGGGAGACUUGAGUGUGGCAGAGGGGGGUGGAAUUCCACGUGUAGCAGUGAAAUGCGUAGAUAUGUGGAGGAACACCGAUGGCGAAGGCAGCCCCCUGGGUUAACACUGACGCUCAUGCACGAAAGCGUGGGGAGCAAACAGGAUUAGAUACCCUAGUAGUCC